rnacentral:rRNA from 1 species
CACGUAGGGCGCAAGCGUUGUCCGGAAUUAUUGGGCGUAAAGAGCUCGUAGGCGGUCUGUUGCGUCCGCUGUGAAAACUCGAGGCUCAACCUCGAGACGUCGGUGGAAACCGUUUGGCUAGAGUCCGGAAGAGGAGAGUGGAAUUCCCGGUGUAGCGGUGAAAUGCGCAGAUAUCGGGAAGAACACCCGUGGCGAAGGCGGCUCUCUGGGACGGUACUGACGCUGAGACGCGAAAGCGUGGGGAGCGAACAGG